CGACACCUCGAUGUCGGCUCGUCGCAUCCUGGGGCUGUACAAGGUCCCAAGGGUUGGGCUGUUCGCCCAUUAAAGCGGCACGCGAGCUGGGUUCAGACCGUCGUGAGACAGGUCGGUCUCUAUCCGCUGUGGGCGUAGGGGACUUGAGAGGAGCUGCUCUUAGUACGAGAGGACCAGAGUGGACAGACCUCUAGUGUGCCAGUUGUCCCGCCAGGGGCAUCGCUGGAUAGCUACGUCUGGCAGAGAUAACCGCUGAAAGCAUCUAAGCGGGAAACUCGCCUCAAGAUGAGGUCCCCCACCGGUUAACCGGGUAAGACCGCCGGAAGACUACCGGUUUGAUAGGCGGGAGGUGUAUGCGCAGCAAUGCGUUUAGCUAACCCGUACUAAUGGUCGAGGGCUUAACCGUG
rnacentral:rRNA from 1 species